UUAUAAAUUGUGUUACGUAAUUUUUUUUAUGUACACUCUCUUUUUUUAUAUUAUUUAAAUUAAUGAUGAUUAAAAACUGAUUAAAGUGUAAUUAUUAAUUCGAGCUCGAACCUGAACUUGAGCUCAAACCAAACUUUUUAAUUUUGAGUUCGGUCUCGAGCUUUUUUAACGAGUUUCUUAAUCGAACUUUCCGAGUUCGAGCUCGAGUUUUAUUAACGAG
rnacentral:lncRNA from 1 species